CCUACGGGUGGCAGCAGUGAGGAAUAUUGGUCAAUGGACGAGAGUCUGAACCAGCCUAGUAGCGUGAAGGAUGACUGCCCUAUGGGUUGUAAACUUCUUUUAUAUGGGAAUAAAAUGUUCCACGUGUGGGAUUUUGUAUGUACCAUAUGAAAAAGGAUCGGCUAACUCAGUGCCAGCAGCCGCGGUAAUACGGAGGAUCCGAGCGUUAUCCGGAUUUAUUGGGUUUAAAGGGAGCGUAGGUGGAUUGUUAAGUCAGUUGUGAAAGUUUGCGGCUCAACCGUAAAAUUGCAGUUGAAACUGGCAGUCUUGAGUACAGUAGAGGUGGGCGGAAUUCGUGGUGUAGCGGUGAAAUGCUUAGAUAUCACGAAGAACUCCGAUUGCGAAGGCAGUUCACUGGACUGCAACUGACACUGAGGCUCGAAAGUGUGGGUAUCAAACAGGAUUAGAUACCCCGGUAGUC
rnacentral:rRNA from 1 species